rnacentral:rRNA from 1 species
UACGUAGGGGGCAAGCGUUGUCCGGAUUUAUUGGGCGUAAAGAGCUCGUAGGCGGCUCGUCGCGUCGACCGUGAAAACCCGCGGCUUAACUGCGGGCUUGCGGUUGAUACGGGCGGGCUAGAGUUCGGUAGGGGAGACUGGAAUUCCUGGUGUAGCGGUGAAAUACGCAGAUAUCGGGAGGAACACCAAUGGCGAAAGCAGGUACCUGGACUAUUACUGACACUAAGCUGCGAAAGCUAGGGGAGCAAACAGG